rnacentral:lncRNA from 1 species
AUUUCGUUUAGUACUUUUUAAUGUACCAUCUGUGUUUUAUAGUAAAAUUUUAAUAAUUAAUUUCAUAUGCAAUGAAUUUUUAGGUUAUUAUUAUUUUCUGUAAAAUGUUUGGUUGGAAAAACAUGGGAAUAUGGGAUAUGAGGGCAUUCAAGCAAAUGAUAUUUCGUCACGUGCUUGCAUUCACUCUAUAAAUAAUAGUCAGUAUACAGUUUACAGUAUCUUAUCACAGUUUUAUACUUGUACAGGCAACAUGUUAAAAAUAAUAUUUUUGUUUAGUUCUAUUUUAAAAAUGUCUAAGCAACUGUCUGGUGCAGAAAAGAGAAAUAUAAGAAAAUGAAAAUUAGAAGAAUGCAAGUCAACAUUGCAACAAUUUGUUAAAUGGCUAGAAAUGGAAACACCAGAAAAGAGAGGAAGUGCAGAAGAGGUCAAAUCUACUACUGCUUCACAAGUUGAUGAUACAACACUACAUUUGACAUCUACUCCUUUAAUGAAUGACAAUUCUCAUAGAAGCAAAAACAAGGAGCCAUUACAAGAAGAAAAAUCUACUGUUUCACAAGAUAUUUUACUAUAGUUAUCCCAUAAUAAUUCAAAAGAGGACGAGCCUGCACAAAGAACUAUCUCACAAAUCGAUAAUACCAUAUAAAAUAUGUGCUCUACUGUUCCAGAAGAAAUAUUGCUAAAUUACAACAAUCCCUAUUCUUGGCUUGCUAUUACAAAUAAAUUAAUAUAUUCCCUUGUCACACAUGAUCCAGAUCAAGGCGACAACAUUAACACAUUGAAAGCAGAUGAUUUAGGGUGAAAAUUUAUAAAAAGGACUGGUUUUAUGUUAAAAAAAUUAAUGGAGAAACUGUUAAAAGAAAAUGGAUUUUAUAUUCCAUUAAUCAAAUGCAGUUUGCUUUCCUUGCAUUCUUUCUGGAUACAAAUUACAUAAUCUUUUAGACCCACAAAAAGGAUUUCAUGAC